CGGGCCUUUUAUUUACCGCGGCCCAGGAGUCGGUAAAGAUAGCGGUCCCAAGAACAACAUUGUCGGGGGCGAUACUGCUGAUAUCGGCACAUAUGCUUAUCAUGCAGGCAUAAUGGUAAAGAUGGGUGUAACCAAUUUCCUGGUCUGCAGUGGAGCUCUUCUAGCGGCCAACAAAGUGAUUACAGGUGCCCACUGCGCUUUUGAAAGAGGGACUUUAGUCGUGGCCAUGGGAUCUUCGGACUUGGCCGAUGACUCUGACCCAGACUUGCAGGUGAUCGAAGUAGACAGCAUG